rnacentral:tRNA from 1 species
GGCGGUGUAGCUCAGCUGGCUAGAGCGUACGGUUCAUACCCGUGAGGUCGGGGGUUCGAGUCCUGCAGGGUCCACCA